GCCAUGCCGCGUGAGUGAAGAAGGCCUUCGGGUUGUAAAGCUCUUUCGGCCGGAAGAAAUCGUGUUCUCUAACAUAGGAACAUGGAUGACGGUACCGGACUAAGAAGCACCGGCUAACUACGUGCC
rnacentral:rRNA from 1 species